UUGAAAGUUCAUUAAAUGCAAAUUCAAAUGCGGUUUGGGGGUCUUAGAUAGACUACAUUCUCGAAAAUUUUAUUUGUAUGUCGUUGCAGUAUUAAUAGUGAAGUCACCAUUAGUGAUUUUGUCAUAAUUCACCGUCUAGAUUAAAAUCGUAAGGGUUUUCUCGUGCGUGUAUCGUCUCUUGCUCUAAAGACAAAUGUAAUUGAUAGCGCCAAUAAAUUUCAAUCGCUGGGAGUUCUUGUUAGUCUUUAUUAGGCCUGUAGUAGAUUAUAAGUUGUUCAAACGAAUUAAAAUUUAGAUUUGAUUUAUUUUGGUUUUGUUUUUAAAUAUUCCUAGGAGGGUACCAUCAGGGUGUCUCUUAGUCAAAGACUUUUAUUCCAAAUUGUUGAGUUUGGGCACUGCCUUAUGCUUUUAUUCUGCUUUAUCUAAAGUUUCGCAACUCAAUAAUUCCGUGCAAAGGUCGUCAUCUUCUGAUAACUUCGUAAGGGGUAAGGUCUGCAAGUGGGGCGAGGACGUCCAAGAAAAGUCCAAGGUGCCAAACUCUCGGAUAUUUUAGAUGCGGAACUUCAGGAGGCUAGGAGUGGGUUGAAUCAGCGCGCUGAUAAGAUUUGUAAUCUCAUCAGCCUGCAUCUGUCGCCGCGUACCGAUCCCGAGCGUUGGCUGUGCACACAGGUAUAUGCUGAAUCUUUGAUUUGUCUCAGUGUGAAUAGCACGAGGUACAGGUUCUGUGUAUGUAGACGAUUCGCUCCUAUGAUGCAUGCCGAGCACACCGGUAAAUGUAGAAACGUCCUUCGGGAUCCAACAGUUUCCAAAAUUGAGACCGUUUGGAUAUCUGACCUAGAGUGCGGCGAGUUUGAAGGAACAGAUUCCGGAUUGGAAUUGGCAGGGCUGUCGAAUGAACGGCCUUAAUACUUGCUGUUUUAAAAUAUACUUUUUAUGGAAUGUUAGUUCCUUUCCUUUUAGUCAAUAAAUGAUGCUUCUGUACUUUUUA